rnacentral:rRNA from 1 species
CCUACGGGUGGCUGCAGUGGGGGAUAUUGCACAAUGGGGGAAACCCUGAUGCAGCGACGCCGCGUGAGUGAAGAAGUAUUUCGGUAUGUAAAGCUCUAUCAGCAGGGAAGAAAAUGACAGUACCUGACCAAGAAGCCCCGGCUAACUACGUGCCAGCAGCCGCGGUAAUACGUAGGGGGCAAGCGUGAUCCGGCAUUAAUGGGUGUAAAGGGAGCGUAGACGGUUAUGUCAGUCUGGAGUGAAAUCCCGGGGCCCACCCCCGUGACUGCUUUGGAAACUGUGUAAAUGGAGUACAGGAGGGGCAGGCGCACUGCCUGGUGUAGCGGUGAAAUGCGUAGAUAUCAGGAGGAACACUGGGGGUGAAGGCGGCCUGCUGGACUGAAACUGACG